rnacentral:lncRNA from 1 species
GUAAUCUUAGACAUGUUAUUUUUAAAGCUUCAGAUUAUAGUUUUUUGUUAGUUUAUUUAGUAGUAUAGCAAUAAUAAUGAUAAUGCCACUGGAUUGCAAAGGGAAUUAAAUAGCAUAAUGUGUGCAAAAAGCUUAGUGGCAUGCCUGGCACACAAUUAGUAUUUAACAAAAUUUCAGCUGCUACAGACUUCUCACCAGACUAGAACACAUUUUUUUUCCCCCAGAAACACAUAUGGAUAAUAUUUCAAAUGAAAUAGAGAGUGGAUUCUUUGCAAUCUCAAAAGUACAGUUCCACACACAAAAAAAUUCUACUUCUGUUUAACAGAUACACAGAUGAAGAUGAUAUCUAUGGAAUCUUUUCCUUGCAAUUGAUGCAUUCUUUAGUCCAGUAAUAUCACCCCACUUUGUAUCCAAGACAUUGUCUCUGUUCAUGUAGAAUUCAGUGUUUUCCAGCUUUUGCCAAUUAAAUACAAGGCCACCAAGGUUAUUUUUCUUCUAAAAAUGCUUUUCUUCAACCAUCAUAAGCACAACUAAUACCAUGACCAAGGACACUUUCUGUACAAUAUAACCACCAUGAAAUUUCAACGUCAGUGAAAAAAAAUAUGUAGAAAUGAGAAUUACCUUAAAGGACUAUUUCAGAUUGAAAGCUUAGUUUAAGCCUCAUCUGAGAGCUGAAAUUUAACAGCAUGCAGUUCUAUGUGAAACACGUGAAAGAAGAAAGAGACCUGGUUUCAAGUUAUGGCUGUGACCUGUAUAGACAGAAGACAAUGACAUAAUCCCUGCAACCUUCAGUCUGCUGGGCUACAUGAAAAUCCACACUGAUCUCAAGAACUCAUUCCAUGGCGCAACGCUUGUUCAGCCUCUGAUAGAAGGAAAUGGAAAGAAAUGUCAGAAGGAAACAUCUGUCCAGCAAAUUGCCGUGGAAUAGAAUUGAAGAAUUACUGGGAAAUUCAUACAAUUCCAUGGACAAGUGACAAAGGAUUCCGAAGGCAUUGAUACCAAAGCAUUAACAACAGAAGAGAAAAUAAAGAGCAUUUUUGUCUUAAGAAUGAAAAAGAAAAGACAAAUAUAAAUUCAAUCAAGGACCAUAGAUGUUCUAAAUUGCGUUCCAAGUGGAAAACAGCAAGUCUUCCAACUUUGUGAAACACUUUCUUUAGGCAAUAAAGAUUACAUUUGUUUAC